UACGUAGGGUGCGAGCGUUAAUCGGAAUUACUGGGCGUAAAGCGUGCGCAGGCGGUCUGUUAAGACCGAUGUGAAAUCCCCGGGCUAACCUGGGAACUGCAUUGGUGACUGGCAGGCUUUGAGUGUGGCAGAGGGAGGUAGAAUUCCACGUGUAGCAGUGAAAUGCGUAGAGAUGUGGAGGAAUACCGAUGGCGAAGGCAGCCUCCUGGGCCAACACUGACGCUCAUGCACGAAAGCGUGGGGAGCAAACAGG
rnacentral:rRNA from 1 species